CGAGGGGUGCCUCAUGGUCAGAACAAAUUUAUAGACAAAAAGUUAAAGUGACGUACAGGAAUUGGAAGUGAGGUACAGAAAGAGUGAGAUUGGUUACAGCUCUGCAUUUGCCUUAUUUGAAGACAGUUUGAGCACUCAGCAGUCUAUGAGUGGCUGAA
rfam:Pan troglodytes isolate Yerkes chimp pedigree #C0471 (Clint) chromosome 12, whole genome shotgun sequence.